rnacentral:rRNA from 1 species
CCUACGGGAGGCUGCAGUGGGGGAUAUUGCACAAUGGGGGAAACCCUGAUGCAGCGACGCCGCGUGGGCGAAGAAGUAUUUCUGUAUGUAAAGCUCUAUCAGCAGGGAAGAAGAACUCUCUGUAUCUGUGUAAGAAGCACCGGCUAAAUACGGGCCAGCAGCCGCGGUCAUACGUAUGGGGCAAGUGCUCCCCGGAUUUACUGGGUGUAAAGGGAGCGCAGGCGGCACGCCAAGCCUGGUGUGAAAGCCCGCGGCGCAACCGCGGCACUGCAUUGGCCACUGCCGGGCUGGAGUGCCGGAGAGGUAGGCGGAAUUCCGAGUGUAGCGGUGAAAUGCGUAGAUAUUAGGAAGAACACCGGUGGCGAAGGCGGCUUACUGGACGGUGACUGACGCUGAGGCUCGAAAGCGUGGGGAGCAAACAGGAUUAGAGACCCGAGUAGUC